GACGAACGCUGGCGGCGUGCCUAAUACAUGCAAGUAGAACGCACAGUUUAUACCGUAGCUUGCUCCACCAUAGACUGUGAGUUGCGAACGGGUGAGUAACGCGUAGGUAACCUGCCUGGUAGCGGGGGAUAACUAUUGGAAACGAUAGCUAAUACCGCAUAAUAUUGAUUAUUGCAUGAUAAUUGAUUGAAAGAUGCUAUUGCAUCACUACCAGAUGGACCUGCGUUGUAUUAGCUAGUAGGUGAGGUAACGGCUCACCUAAGCGACGAUACAUAGCCGACCUGAGAGGGUGAUCGGCCACACUGGGACUGAGACACGGCCCAGACUCCUACGGGAGGCAGCAGUAGGGAAUCUUCGGCAAUGGACGAAAGUCUGACCGAGCAACGCCGCGUGAGUGAAGAAGGUUUUCGGAUCGUAAAGCUCUGUUGUAAGAGAAGAACGGGUGUGAGAGUGGAAAGUUCACACUGUGACGGUAUCUUACCAGAAAGGGACGGCUAACUACGUG
rnacentral:rRNA from 1 species